GUGUAGUAGCCAGCAAACAAUUUUGCAGGGUAGACUGCAGGAAGCACAUGUGACGCAACGAGAAAGCAUUUGUAAGAGUAGAGCCUCUGUUGCCGUGAAUCUAGAUGAAAGGUUUACUCAUCGUAAUAACAAUAAUUAGACAACAAAAACAACAACUCAGGACUCAGAAACAGAGCCUUCUUCAAUCGUUGGAAUCUGGAUUAUCUAAAUAAUUUCCAACUAAGUUGUCAUCUGAUUGUUUCAGAGCAAAGAGGAAUUGUCAGGCGUGUGGCUGACAAGCAGGUAUAAGAUAUAUGAUGGGCUUAUCAUAGCUCAUAAGCCUGCUUGCUUUUUCUUAAAUGGGACAUGUAUAAACAAUGUCUCAAGCACUCAGCGGUCACCACUAUGAUUGCCGUGUGGUCC
rnacentral:lncRNA from 1 species